rnacentral:rRNA from 1 species
CAGAAUCCCGUGAACCAUCGAGUUUUUGAACGCAAGUUGCGCCCGAAGCCUUUGGCCAGGGCACGUCUGCCUGGGCGUCACGC